rnacentral:rRNA from 1 species
UACAGAGGGUGCGAGCGUUGUCCGGAAUCACUGGGCGUAAAGGGCGCGUAGGCGGCUUGAUAAGCGUGCGGUGAAAGCCCGGGGCUCAACCCCGGGUCGGCCGUGCGAACUGGUCGAGCUGGAGCACUGUAGAGGCAGGUGGAAUUCCGGGUGUAGCGGUGGAAUGCGUAGAGAUCCGGAAGAACACCGGUGGCGAAGGCGGCCUGCUGGGCAGUGGCUG